AGUGAACGCUGGCGGUAGGCCUAACACAUGCAAGUCGAACGGCAGCACAGUAAGAGCUUGCUCUUACGGGUGGCGAGUGGCGGAAGGGUGCGGAAUACAUCGGAAUCUACUUUUUCGUGGGGGAUAACGUAGGGAAACUUACGCUAAUACAGCAUACGACCUACGGGUGAAAGCAGGGGAUCUUCGGACCUUGCGCGAGUGAAUGAGCCGAUGUCGGAUUAGCUAGUUGGCGGGGUAAAGGCCCACCACGGCGACGAUCCGUAGCUGGUCUGAGAGGAUGAUCCGCCACACUGGAACUGAGACACGGUCCAGACACCUACGGGAGGCAGCAGUGGGGAAUAUUGCGCAAUGGGGGAAAGCCUGAUCCAGCAAUACCGCGGGAGUGAAGAAGGCCUUCGGGUUGUAAAGCCCUUUUGUUGUGAAAGAAAAACAGCACGUUAAUACCCCGCUGUUCUGACGGUACCCAAAGAAUAAGCACCGGCUAACUUCGUG
rnacentral:rRNA from 1 species